UACGUAGGGUGCAAGCGUUGUCCGGAAUUACUGGGCGUAAAGAGCUCGUAGGCGGUUUGUCGCGUCGUCUGUGAAAUCCCGCAGCUCAACUGCGGGCUUGCAGGCGAUACGGGCAGACUUGAGUACUGCAGGGGAGACUGGAAUUCCUGGUGUAGCGGUGAAAUGCGCAGAUAUCAGGAGGAAUACCGGUGGCGAAAGCGACUCUCUGGACGGCAACUGACGCUGAGGCACGAAAGCGUGGGGAGCAAACAGG
rnacentral:rRNA from 1 species